rnacentral:tRNA from 1 species
UCGGGACGUGGCGCAGCCCGGUAGCGCACCUGAAUGGGGUUCAGGGGGUCGCCGGUUCGAAUCCGGCCGUCCCGAU